GUUUGCCGGGGCAUCUUUUGGAAUAUUUAUCGGCUGGACCCCGUUGAAUGGAAUGUUGGCAUUUACAACAGUCAGUUCGAUUCUGGUUGGCGAAUU
rnacentral:tRNA from 1 species